AUGCUGUCCUUUCUCCGCGCCGCCGUCUCCGGCCGCCUUCGCCGCACCCUCUCCACCGCCGCCGCGCGCCCUCCCUGGGCGAUGAUGUACCGGGUCUCCCAGGGGUCCAACUCCACGGAGAGCGUGUCGUCCUCGCUCGCCCCGCCGCCGUCCGUCUCCUUCGUCUCCGUGCCCAGCCACGCCCUCGACAUCGACCCCUUUCCGCCCCAACCCAAGUGCGUCAGCCUGUUUCGCGGCCUCGUCCUCGCCGCCAGCGGCCACGGCCUCCUCCUCCUGGACACCCACAUGAGCCGCCUCCAGGCUCAUGACCUGAAGCUCCUCUACCGGAGGUUCGCGCGCUUCGUCUGCAACCCGGUCACCGGCCAGCUGCUCCGCCUCCCGGACUUCGACGGCGCCGAGAAGACCUUGACCGACGGCAUGGGGCUCCUCACCCAGGCCUACGGCGCCAGCGGGCCGCCCAAGAGGUAUGCCGCUGCUCAGCUCACCGAGGUCGACGGCGGGCAGCGCUUCCUGCUGCGCCGGUUCUCCUCGGAGACAGGGGACUGGGACGAGCGGGUGCUGCCGUCCCCGAUGCCGCCUAGGCGGCGGAUGCACAUGGUUCACGAGGUGCUGGACUACGGAGGCCGGCUCUGGUGGGUGGACGUGAGCUGGGGCGCCAUCUGCGUCGAUCCGUUCAGCGACCGGCCUGAACUCUGCCCCGUCGAGCUGCCGGCACACAGCAUGCUUCCUGACCAACUGGACGAGAACGAAAUGAGGCAGCUUAUCAAGCACCGCCACAUGGGGGUCAGCGCCGGCAGGCUGCUCUAUGCCGAGGUCGACCCGUUACAUAUCAGAUCCUUCACGCUCGACGACGAGAGCCGCCGCUGGACGCUGCAGCACCAGGUGUCGGUUGAUCUUUUGCCCAAUGGAGGUAAUGCCAAGGAGAUGCCUUUGGUUGCUGCUGUCGAUCCACUGGACACCAACCUGCUGCAUCUCAACGUGGACAGAGUUAAUUUCAGCAUCGACAUGUCCAGGAAGAGGAUGAUUGAGAGUACUGCAAUACCUACUGACAUGUCUCCUCCGAGCGAGUCCGCAACAACUUCCUAUCUACCGUGCGUGCUCCCUUCAUUUCUUCGAUCAAGCCCGAUUCCAGGUAAGAAGUCUGUCACGAAAAACAAGACUUUGGCAGAUGUUCUGGUUCGUUUAGACAGACAUCACGCUAAAUGA
rnacentral:rRNA from 1 species